rnacentral:rRNA from 1 species
UGGGUAACCUGCCUCAAAGAGGGGAAUAGCCUCCCGAAAGGGAGAUUAAUACCGCAUAAUAUGUUUAAGUCGCAUGACUUUAACAUCAAAGGAUUUUCUUUUAGAAAUUCCACUUUGAGAUGGACCCGCGGCGCAUUAGCUAGUUGGUGAGGUAACGGCUCACCAAGGCAACGACGGGUAGCUGGUCUGAGAGGAUGGCCAGCCACAUUGGGACUGAGACACGGUCCAGACUCCGUAGGGAGG